rnacentral:rRNA from 1 species
UACGGAGGGUGCGAGCGUUAAUCGGAAUUACUGGGCGUAAAGCGCACGCAGGCGGUUUGUUAAGCUAGAUGUGAAAGCCCCGGGCUCAACCUGGGAUGGUCAUUUAGAACUGGCAGACUAGAGUCUUGGAGAGGGGAGUGGAAUUCCAGGUGUAGCGGUGAAAUGCGUAGAUAUCUGGAGGAACAUCAGUGGCGAAGGCGACUCCCUGGCCAAAGACUGACGCUCAUGUGCGAAAGUGUGGGNAGCGAACAGG